UGCCCUGCACUUCGGGAUAAGCUUGGGAAACUGGGUCUAAUACCGGAUAGGAGCCAUCUUUAGUGUGGUGGUUGGAAAGUUUUUUCGGUGUAGGAUGAGCUCGCGGCCUAUCAGCUUGUUGGUGGGGUAAUGGCCUACCAAGGCGGCGACGGGUGGCCGGCCUGAGAGGGUGUACGGCCACAUUGGGACUGAGAUGCGGCCCAG
rnacentral:rRNA from 1 species